GACGAACGCUGGCGGCGUGCUUAACACAUGCAAGUCGAACGGGAGUAUUGAAGAAGCUUGCUUUAGAGAUACUUUAGUGGCGGACGGGUGAGUAACGCGUGAGGAGCUGUCCUAUGCAGGGGGACAACAGCUGGAAACGGCUGCUAAUACCCCAUAAGCCGAGAGGUAAAAGGAUCAAUCCGGCAGAGGAGGUACUCGCGUCCUAUCAGCUGGUUGGUGGGGUAACGGCCCACCAAGCCAAUGACGGGUAGCCGGCCUGAGAGGGUGUACGGCCACACUGGAACUGAGACACGGUCCAGACUCCUACGGGAGGCAGCAGCUAGGAAUUUUCCGCAAUGGGCGAAAGCCUGACGGAGCGACGCCGCGUAAGGGAAGAAGGCUCUACGGAGUUGUAAACCUUUUUUAACAGGGAAGAGACAGGACGGUACCUGUGGAAUAAGCCCCGGCAAACUACGUG
rnacentral:rRNA from 1 species